AUCUGGCUGACGAGUCCCAAAUAGGACGAAACUGCGCCUCCUGCAU
rfam:Schistosoma mansoni strain Puerto Rico chromosome 4, complete genome